ACUUAGAUAGCUUAUACUAGAGCGUGAUAUUGAAGAUAUCAAGGAAACUUCAAGUUUUUAAGUA
rnacentral:tRNA from 1 species